GAUGGCAGGAUAAUUAUUGACCUGAGGAAUAAUAUGGAUUUAUGUGGUUGUGAAAAUAGACUUUGUGUUUGUGAGUGUGAAAAUGUUAGUGUGUGUGUGUGUGUGUGUGCGCGCGGACGCGCGCUGGGACCCCACUUGACAGAUUGACCAAAGGAGCAUUAGUGGAAAAAAACAGGGUAGCCCUGAGACAAUAGGAUGACGUCACGACCAAUGAGAACGGCCAGCAGGGGGCGCAAGGAUUCACUUCUCUCUUGGACACUGACGGGUCUCGACACGCAAAUUCUGCUCCUGGCGUUGGCCGUCAGUGGAAGAGCGUAGCUUCGGUGGGGUUCUGUCUGCCUCUGAUGGGGUGCGGAUGUGUGGUUCGUCGCUGGUGAAUGGUGUUCGACGAUGCAGGUGGAUUUUGUGAGGAGCGGAUUUACAAUGAGGGAAUGCUGUGAACGGGAAAAAUGAUGAGCUGUCCUAACUUGCCCAGACAUGCCAUGAUGACGUCACAGCUGACGUCACAGGAUGUGCGGAACUGGUGCUGCGAUGCUUUGCAACCUGCCUCCGUGCUCCAUCGCCCAGCGACAGUCAGCGGCCGUUCCGGACCGCUUUCUUCAAGAUGACGUCGUUGAUCUUCAACUAAACUCCUUCUCUCCACUCUAUUUCUAUCUUUUCAUUUUAUUUUCUACCUAUUUUUUAUUUUUUUAUCAGCUCAAGUAGCCGGAAACUCACACAGUGGUCUGGACGUGUCUUAGAUGAUCCCCAAUUAGUGUAAUGACUCCCUGGUGGGUCCUGAUUAAUGUGGGGGGUCCCAAUUAGCUCUAAUUGCUAAUUAAUGGCGUCCAGACGAAGAUGUGAGUUUCCGGAUACUUGAGCUGAUACAUUACUACUCUUAGGCAGCCAGCCGGCCUGCGCAUGCUCUUGGGGUCAGGUGAGCGAUCACAUGGUGGACAGGAGCAUCCAUGAAUGCAAAGCGGGGCUGGCACGCUCGUCCCCAUGGCAGAAACUUGGAAGGGCCGCUACUGUGUUUCCUUCCUCCAUGCUGCAAGCAGUUGAACAAUCCGAGGAUGGCGUACCUAAUGUUUGGGACCGUGGUGCUAAUCUCCAGCUCCGUGUUGUGCUACGGCAUUCCAUUCAAAGCAUGUGGGAGGAAACCAGGUGUGGUGACGGCAACGCGCAGUGCUGCCCUGGCGUCGAAAUUACUGACAAUGUGCGCCCAGAGAAUGUUAAUAAAACACGACAUCGAGCCCAAGAUAAUA